rnacentral:misc_RNA from 1 species
AAUUUAAAAAAGACCCGUUACGCAGUAAAUGAUAAACAGUUACCCGUACCUUUGGAACCUGAUCAAUUCUAAUCUAAUAGACGUUAGUGAUAUAAACAUAUUUUAUAAGAAUCACCGAUUAAUUUAUGUUAUCGAAAUACCUCUAAUCGAACAAAACAACUUUAUUUUAUAUCAUGUGAUUCCGUUACCAAUCAAGCAGGUUGAGAGGGGCAUUUAUGCAUUCAUAAACCUCAUUUAUACUUAUUUAGGUCUUAGAUCUGAUAAACAAUUAUAUACUCAUUUAACAGAACGCGAUAUAGAUAAAUGUAAAAAGAUUAAUAACGCAAUGAUUUGUAAACAAACGGAUUUGCUAUACCAAGUCUCAGCGAUUCAUAAUUGUGAAUCAGAAUUAUUGAAGUCAGCCAGAUUAGAGAGCAUAUUAAAAGAAUGUGAUGUUCGAGUUAUGAAAAUUCACAACACAGUGUGGUAUCAAUUAAAAACUACGAAUUUUUGGAUAUACACAGCUCCUCGUAACGAAACUCUUCACAUCUUAUGUAAAGACAAUAAGCCGCGACAAACACAAUUAUUUUCAACCGGACUUAUUAAGUUUUCCGCAGAUUGUGAUGCUAUUUCCGAUAAUGCAUUGUUACGCAGUCAAACCAUAGGCGUUAUAAAUACUAUCGAAAAGGAUUAUAUUCCCGAUGUUAAAUUAAAUACUAGUAAAUUAUGCAAAGAUCUCAAGAAACAUAACAUAAAUAUUUCAGAUAUUCACUUACUAAAUAUUGAUAAAACUCCUAAUUUAGACAUGCAAGUGUUAAAAACCGCAAGCUCCGCUCUAGAUGAAAUUUCUAAAGAAGCAGAAGAGUUAGGCAAACAUCAUCGUACUCAAACUCUGUACCAUAAAGUUAUAGGAUGGUUUUACUAUGUAAUAUAUACCAUUGCAGGCCUAGUAAUUUUAUAAAUAAUUGCGAAAUGUUCAUUAAUAACAAAAUGUAUCGACAUUAUUAUUAUUAUUAUUCUUAAACUAUGUUGCGUACCAAAAGAAGGAUGCGUUCAGUAUUUUUAUAAAUGUUUGAACAAUAAUGUUACAACUCGUCACAAUGACCCGCGACAUGUAGUGACUUUCACCGCAGUACCUACGGCAGAUGAACUUUUCCAGAACGACGAAACUGAAAAAUGUGAAAAGAAUAGUGGAAGGCGUCGAUCUCGUUCCCGUAAUAGCCGACUUACAAAUUUAGUGUAAUUUUAUUGCGUGCGAUUUUAGUACGUAAGACCAUAUAUUAGUCUUUUCAAUUUUAAUUUCAUUUAUGUAUCAAUCUGAAAUGGUGUAACUGCAUUAUGUAUGAACAUUAAUAGAUUAAGUUAUCAUGUCACCGUCCCAGAUAGCCAGUUUGGUAUAAUAAAGAUAUUAGCAUCUUCCUAUGCAUUUAUGUCGUCCGUUGUGCUGUUGUUUGCUAGCAUUCGAUGUCGGAAAUAAAAUUCUUUGCACGUUUCAAACAUUAUGCUAGCAUUAUUUAAGAUCAGUGUCGAAUGCUAGCAAAUAACAGCACAAGGGACGACGUAAAUGCAUAGCAAGAUGCUAACAUCUUUAUUAGCAACAUGAGAACAAUUUGUGCUCAUACAUACAUUUGUGGCUAUCUGGGGUAAUCGUAAUAUCGCUAGAUUAUAAGAAUUUGUCAAAUCAAGAAGGAUCUUUAAUUUAAGGGAGAAGGUGUUAUGUGCCUAGACACGAUAAAAAUUCUUUUCUUUAAAAUAUUUCUAUCUAAUCACCCUGUACAAACUAUGUCUUAAAACUAUCCCGAUAUAUCAUACCAGAUCCUUACUUAUUGAUAACCUUUUCUAUCUACGGUCUUUUUAAACUUAAUAUUUGUUUGUUUCCUCGUCCUGUAAACAUCCUGCAUCCCACCCAAACUAUUCUUUAUGACAUAGAUAUCAAUUAUCAAAUUCUCUCCUUUUUAAGAAAUCAACCAAUAGUUAUUUCCGCCUUACGAGCACUUCCUAUGAUUGGAUGAUGCUAACUUAUUCCGACUUUAAUAUAAGGAUCCCUUUCGAUGAUUAGAGUCAGUCUCUGUACUAAACCACUAGAAGUUAGACGAAAGUCUGUAAAACGUUAGAAUAAACACUUUAAAAUACCAGUGCGAUCCAUCUCUCACAUUACGUGCAUCUCACACGUAACAGGUCGCACGAAAAAGGCCGCAGUGGCCGCUCUCAGGUUCCUCUCUGGGUGCGUUCGGGGAGCUCGCUAUUAGCGCUACGCAGCACUACCGCUGUUCGCGGAGACGCUGGAUAGCGCUAUCAAGCGCUGUCGUGACGUCAUUGCUGGUAGCGUUAUACGUCAUAACUGCUCGCUACCGACGCACUUCCUUUCGAGGUAGUGCAUGGGUAGCGUUAGCGUUGAUAGCGUUUGCGAACUUCACGAACAGUCUGAUAGUAACGUAGCGUUCUCCCCAUGGUGGAAGGAAGUAAGGUGUGCUCAUACUGAAGACGCGUUUUCGUAUCGUUCUGCGCAUUGUACCAGCGGCCUUCAUUUUUAAAUUCUUGUGUUUAUGUCAGAACUGUCAGAAGCAAUCAGAAGGCAUUUAACCUUAAUUUCUGACGUUUGUAGGUAGGUUUAUACUGUUUAAGUAUCGGAGCACUAUGCCUUCAUGUGCAGUGAAAAGUUGCUCAAAUUAUACAGGGAAAAGGGGAUCCGGAAAUCUAAAGUUUUUUAGAUUUCCUAUAGAUCCCAUUUUAAGUGAUCAGUGGAAAGUCAUUUGCCAAAAUGAAAAUCUUAAUGUAAAAAAUGCUCGGAUCUGUUUGAUCCAUUUUGAUGCAAGUGCAUAUAAAGAGGCUUCAUGGAUGCGAUCUAUUCUGGGAGAAGGGUACUCGCCCCAAAAAACCAGAAAAUUAAAAGCAGAUGCAAUUCCGACAGAAUAUCUUAAAUUAAUUGUAAAUAAAGGUAGUAAUUUAUUUUUUGUAUGUUUCUAAAUGUAUUUAUUUUUGCACGUAAAAUACAUGUGAGUAUUCUUUUACUAUCUAUUAAACUUUUUUUAUAUUUUAUAUAUGUUAUACAUUAUACAUCUAUAUUUUUAAUAUUAAGUUUAUUCCUUCAUUUAAUUACAAUUAUUUAUAGUAUUAAUGAAAUAUUAUUUAUCUCCUAUUAUUUCAGUACCCGAUGAAACUGCUCAGUCAAUUUGUACAGAAGAGCAAUCGAAUGUAGAACAUCAAAUUGUAGAACAAUAUAAUAACUCUUCUUAUUCUCAAUCAUAUGAUACCAGUAAGAAUUGUAAAAAAAAUACACAAAACCGAUUUUCUAUUAGGAUUUUAGGGUCACUAUUUUCUUAUAUUAUAUUUUCUUAUAUAAAAUUUCAGAUGCCAAAGAAAAAACUUUAAAACAGAACAAAAAUAUACAAAGAAUGUGCCAAAAAUUAUUAGCCCGAAAUAAGUAUUUAGAAAGGGAACUUUUUAAGCAACAAAAACGCGUAAAAGUAAAUUCAGACAUAAGAAUACGAAAAAUUUUAAGUUCAAUAUUUACUCCCGAACAAAUUAAAUUGUUGUUAAAUCCGAAUAAAAAAAAAAAACUAAUUGGUCUGCAGAGGAUAUAGUUGCUGCAAUAUCCCUACGCACUGUAAGUCCUAAAGCUUACAGAUAUUUACAGAAUGCACGGAAUGUGCCACUCCCUGCAUUGUCGACACUUCGUAGAUGGGUUGCUACAUUCAAUGUUGAUAAUGGUAUUUUGGAACAUGUUUUCCUUAUUAUUAUGAAGCAUAAAAGCCAGAACAUGACUAAAAUGGAUAAAAUAACCACGUUAUGUUUUGAUGAAAUUCAUCUAUCCAAUCAAGCAGGAAUUAAACGGAGAAAGGAAAGAGUCAUAGAACCGCAUAAUAAAUGUCAGGUUGCUGUUGCCAGAGGUUUGUUUACUAAAUGGAAGCAACCUGUUUAUUAUGAAUUUGAUCAAAACAUGACUAAACAUAUAUUAACAACUAUAAUAGCUAAAUUGUAUGAAAUCAAUUACAUGGUUGUUGCGAUAACCAGUGAUUUAGGGCCAACGAAUCAAAGAUUACUCAAUGAACUGGAUAUUGAUAGUGCAAAAUUUAAGGUAAAACAUACUUUCUACAUCCAUGCAAUGGAGAAAUAAAAAUAUACGUAUUUAUUGAUGUACCGCACCUAAUAAAAUUGUUACGUAAUUUAUUUGACUCCGGAUUUUACAUAAAUGGUCAUUACAUAAGUAAAACCUGUCUAGAAAGGCUAAUUCAAAUUAAUGGCAAUGAUUUAAAAAUUGUACACAAAUUGUCACGAUUUCAUUUAGACGUGAAGGGAACGCAGCGACAAAACGUCAAACUUGCCACACAAGUUUUUUCUAAUACAAAUGCUACCGCUUUAGAAUGGUGUGGCGAGAAAAGAUUUAUGGAGGAUUGUUUAGAAUGGUCUGAAACUGCAAAAUUUAUCAGACUAUUUAAUGAUUGGUUUGAUUUAUUCAAUUCUUCGAGUAAAUUCGGCUCACAUUCUGGAAUGCAUGCAUAUGGCAUAAAUAUUGAGAAACAAAAUGAACUCUUGGCUAAAGUUUCGUUACUUGUUAAAGAUAUGAGGAUUGAAAAAAAGAAGAAUUUACUUCCAUUUCAAAAAGGAAUUUUAAUAAGUAAUGAGUCAUUAAAAAAACUUAUAUAAUGAUAUGAAAAUGAUGUUUGAAAAUACUCAGUAUCCCGUUACAUAUAUAAUGACUACUCGACUCAAUCAGGAUGUAGUGGAAAAUUUGUUUGCGUAUAUACGAGCAAUGGGAGCUUGUAAUGACAGACCGACAGCACUCGAUCUUAGAUACAGAUUUCGAUGGUACAUAUUAGGAAAGCAUUCGACAGACGUUUUUACUCAAGGGAGUAACACUGUUGUGCAAAAUUUGACAGACAAUGAAACUUACCUUACUAGUAUGUCUGAUGAAUUAUUUAACAGUAAUGAAGAGAAUGCAGAAAACAAUAAUCAAUUGGAUUACGAAACCAUUCAAGAAAUACAAUUUUGCAACAUUUCGGAAGAAUUCACUGAACAAAAUCAGACAGAUAAUAAUAUUGAUUUCGACGAAUUUGAAUACAAUAAUAUUGGUAAGUUAUUAAAUUUGUAAUUGUAUUGACUGCAUAUACUGAAAUAUAUGUAUUGUAUUAAUAUUUACUCUUUUAUUCAUAUAUUGUUUACUGUUAAUCAUAAUUAUAAUCGUCAAUACUACUGUUUCUGAUAACAUAUCAUAGAUAACAUAUCAAGCUGUUUUACCCAAUCGUCAAGAAUCCCAUCCUCCUCCAGAACAGUUUGAAAAUUUUAUAAAUGUAUCCGACGUUAUACAGAAAGAAGGUUUAAAAUAUAUUGCCGGUUAUGCAGCAUCUAGAUUCCGAAAUAAAUACCCAUUUUUAGGAACUCCUACUAAACUACUAGCUAAUUCAAAUGAAGACUGGAUCAAUUAUAUUUCGAAAGGUGGACUGAUUAGUCCUUCCAUUGAAUUGAUUAAAACGGCAGAAAUAAUGAAUUCGGAAUUUAAAAAAUUUCAUGGUUUAUUUAUCAGUAAAAAGUCCAAAAUUUUUAAAACAAUUGCUGAAAAAGUGAGAAAAAACAAACAUACUUUAGUAAUACCUUUAGAGAUAUUAUUAUGCCUAAUUAAAACGCGAACAUA